UACGGGAGCAGCAGUGGGGAAUAUUGCACAAUGGGCGCAAGCCUGAUGCAGCCAUGCCGCGUGUAUGAAGAAGGCCUUCGGGUUGUAAAGUACUUUCAGUCGUGAGGAAGGUGUUAAGGUUAAUAACCUUAGCAAUUGACGUUAGCGACAGAAGAAGCACCGGCUAACUCCGUGCCAGCAGCCGCGGUAAUACGGAGGGUGCGAGCGUUAAUCGGAAUUACUGGGCGUAAAGGGCACGCAGGCGGUUAAUUAAGUUGGAUGUGAAAUCCCCGGGCUUAACCUGGGAAUGGCAUUCAAGACUGGUUAGCUAGAGUCUUGUAGAGGGGGUAGAAUUCCAUGUGUAGCGGUGAAAUGCGUAGAGAUGUGGAGGAAUACCGGUGGCGAAGGCGGCCCCUGGCAAAGACUGACGCUCAUGUGCGAAAGCGUGGGGAGCAAACAGGGAUUAGAUACC
rnacentral:rRNA from 1 species